rnacentral:lncRNA from 1 species
AGUUUUCCCUUAUACCAAAAAAAAUCUCUUUCAAUUACAUCCAGGCCACAAGAUACAAGAAAUAGCACAUAGCUAACAUUUAUUACAUUCUUCCUAUGUCCCAUGUACAGAAUAAAGACUGUGUGUGUGUAUGUGUGUGUAUAGUUUUAUUUGAAUAAGACAAUUUUGGAUCUUUCCUGCUUUCUCUUGUGGGCAUUUAGUGCUAUAAAUUUCCCUCUACACACUGCUUUGAGAAAUACAGAGAACACCACAAAGAUACUCCUCGAGAAGAGCAACCCAAAGACACAUAAUCGUCAGAUUCACCAAGGUUGAAAUGAAGAAAAAUAUGUUAAGGGCAGCCAUAGAUGAACAACCUGAUCCUGAAUGACUACUGGGUAAAUAAUAAAAUUAAGGCAGAAAUAAAUAAGUUCUUUGAAACCAAUGAGAACAAAGACACGCUGUACCAGAAUCUCUGGGACACAGAUAAAGCGCUGCUUACAGGGAAAUUUAUAGCACUAAAUGCCCACAUGAGAAAGCAGGAAAAAUCUAAAAUUGACACCCUAAAAUCACAACUAAAAGAACUAGAGAAGCAAGAGCAAACAAAUUCAAAAGCUAGCAGAAGAGAAAAUAUAACUAAGAUCAGAGCAGAACUGAAGGAGAUAGAGAACUAAAAAACCCUUCAAAAAAUCAGUGAAUCCAGGAGCUGAUUUUUUUAAAAACAUUAACAAAAUACAUAGGCCACUAGCCAGACUAAUAAAGAAGAAAGGAGAGAAGAAUCAAAUAGACACAAUAAAAAUAAUAGAAGGGAUAUCACCACUGAUCCCACAGAAAUACAAACUACCAUCAGAGACUAUUAUAAGCACUUCUUUGCAAAUAAACUAGACAAUCUAGAAGAAAUGGAUAAAUUCCUGGACACAUGCACCCUCCCAAGACUAAACCAGGAAGAAGUCAAAUCUCUGAAUAGACCAAUAACAAGUUCUGAAAUUGAGGCAGUAAUUAAUAGCCUACCAACCAAAAGAAGCCCAGGAGCAGAUGGAUUCACAGCCACAUUCUACAAGAGGUACAAAGGGGAGCUGGUACCAUUCCUUUUGAAAUUAUUCAAAACAAUAGAAAAAGAGAGACUCCUCCCUUAUUCAUUUUAUGAGGCCAGCCUUAUCCUGAUAUCAAAACCUGGGAGAGACACAACAAAAAAAGAAAAUUUCAGGCCAAUAUCCCUGAUGAACAUCACUGCAAAAAUCCUCAAUAAAAUACUGGCAACGAAUCCAGCAGCACAUUAAAAAGCUUAUCCACCACAAUCAAGUUAGCUUCAUCCUUGGGAUGCAAGGCUGGUUCAACAUGUGCAAAUCAAUAAACGUAAUCCAUCACAUAAACAGGGUCAAUGACAAAAACCACAUAAUUAUCUCAAUAGAGGCAGAAAAGGCCUUCAAUAAAAUUCAACAGACUUUCAUGCUAAAAACACUCAGUAAACUAGGUAUGGAUGGAAUGUAUCUCAAAAUAACAAGAGCUAUUUAUGACAAACCCACAGCCAAUAUCAUACUGAAUGGGCAAAAGCUGGAAGCAUUCCCUUUGAAAACUGACACAAGACAAGAAUAUUCUCUCUCACCACUCCUAUUCAAUAUAGUAUUGAACAUUCUGGCCAGGUAAAUCAGACAAGAGAAAGGAACAAAGGGUAUUCAAAUAGGAAAAGAGGAAGUCAAAUUAUCUCUGUUUGAAGAUGACAUGAUUGUAUAUUUAUAAAACCCCAUCGUCUCAGCCCAAAAUCUCCUUAGGCUGAUAAGCAACUUCAGCAAAGUCUCAGGAUACAAAAUCAAUGUGCAAACAUCACAAGCAUUCCUAUACAACAAUAAUAGACAAACAGAGAGCCAAAUCAUGAGUGAACUCCCAUUCGUGAUUGCUACAAAGAGAAUAAGAUACCUAGGAAUACAACUUACAGGGAUGUGAAGACCUCUUCAAGGAGAACUACAAACCACAGCUCAGGGAAAU